rnacentral:rRNA from 1 species
UCGAGAAUUUUUCUCAAUGGGGGAAACCCUGAAGGAGCGACGCCGCGUGGAGGAUGAAGGUCUUCGGAUCGUAAACUCCUGUCAUUUGAGAACAAGUGUGGCCCCGUAACUAGGGGUCACUUGAUAGUAUCAGAAGAGGAAGAGGCGGCUAACUCUGUGCCAGCAGCCGCGGUAAUACAGAGGCCUCAAGCGUUGUUCGGAUUCAUUGGGCGUAAAGGGUGCGUAGGCGGUUCCGUUAGUCGGAUGUGAAAUCCUGGGGCUCAACCCCAGAACUGCAUUCGAUACUGCGGGGCUAGAGGACUGGAGAGGAGAGUGGAAUUCACGGUGUAGCAGUGAAAUGCGUAGAUAUCGUGAGGAAGACCAGCGGCGAAGGCGGCUCUCUGGACAGUUCCUGACGCUGAUGCACGAAGGCCAGGGGAGCAAAC